GUUUGUAAACCAUCUCUAUUUUCAGUUUGAUUUAAACAUUGUUUCCUCGCUUUGUCUGAUUCUGCCACCCCCUUUUUUGUCCUCCCUUCUGACAAGCAGUCUUCCCAGUCCACAGAGGGCGAUGACAUCUCCAUCCGAAGCCAAGCCUCCUCGUGUGCCACAGAAGAUGCCUCCGAAGACGCCAUGUCUGUCCGCUCCGAGAUGAUCCAGAGAAAAGGCUCCACUUUCCGACCACACGACUCCUUUCUGAAACCACCCGGGAAGGGAGAAAAGAGGCGGAGGGAGAGGAGGACCACUGUCCUGGGGCUGCCCCAACACGUGCAGCAGGAGCUGGGUAAGCGGCUGGCCUUGCACAAACCGGGUGG
rnacentral:lncRNA from 1 species